GGUGCUGGUGCUGCUACUGAUGCUACUGCCUGUGCUUCUGCUACUGAAACUGUUCCAAAGACUGUGAUCAUUGUAGACAAAGCUUUUGCUGCUGAAACUGAAGGCUCUGUCGACACAAAUACUGCUGAUGAAUCCAAGACUUUGGAAGACAAUCUGGAAACCGUUCCCAGUACUGUGAUCAGAGUAAACAAAGCUUUGGCUGCUGAAACCAAAGCAAAUGAUUUUGAUUUGGAGGAGGACAGUGAAGCACACAGCCACAAUGGACAUACUACUUCUGCCACUGAUGCUCAACCUAAAAAACACCAUGGUUGCUGAAACUGAGAUCUUGGUCGACACAAAUACUGAUGAUGAAUCCACUGUUUUGGGAGGCAAUAGUGAAACCAUUGCAAGCAGCAACAUUGCAGCCACAAAACUUGAAGAGAAUGACCGAACCAUUGCACAGUCAACCAAUGAUACAGAUAAUGCUAUGGAAUGUUCUGUGGAAAAUUCCAUCCUUCCAGAAGAUUCAGAUAAUCAAACUUUGGCUGACACUAAUGAAAGCGUAAAAAUGGAUGACAAGCUUUCAAUAAAAACCGAAGAGAAAGAUGUGGAGGUGUCACUUAGUAGAAGCAACAGUCCAUCUUGCCUGGGAGAAGAAGAGGAACUGACUGAGGAUACAGGUAUAUGUGGAAAAUCUGCAUUAGAAAAUAGAGGCAUACUUCCAACUCAGCCUGCAGCUCCACACACAGUUAACACUGUAUCCUCGAGAACAGAGGAGGCAACACCUGCUCUGAGCCCUCCGAGAGAAAACAAUCAGGAGUCAGGGCCCGAACAAGUGGAAUUUUACAAACCACAAGAAUCUUGUGAGUCGAUAAGACAUGAAGGGAAUCAAGAGCAAGGAUCUUCUACAUGCGUAUUCUCCCCCACUGAUGACCCUGGGAAAUUGCAUAAGAAUGGACUUGACCUGUCACCCACAUAUCCCUUAGAGGACAGACAUGACAACAACACUGUUCCUGUGAAUCUCCAAAAGGAUCAAACCUGUGCUGAUCAAAACCCUCCAUCAACCCCAACAGAUCUUACAGAUGAACAUGAGAAAUGUUCUGAUCAAGACAAAGGUGACAAACAGAUGAACCUAAACUGGCACUGAAUCUCCAACAUGAUCACUCCAGUUAUUUAGACGAGGCAAACUAUACAAGCCAAUCUGAUCCCAAGGCUCAACCAAACAGACAUCCUGAUCAAGACAAUGGCUGUGUGGAUGGCCUGUCUCCAUCAAGUCAUGAGGCUUCAGCUGACAUGCAGGCAGCCAAUCUUAAGGAUCAGAAAAAACAGAGAGGGAUGGUUGUUGCCAAGGAAGAAGGUGCAAACCCAGAUGGAAGACCAUCAGCGAAGACACCAAGGACAGAAGAAGAUUUGAAAGAGACUCAGUCAACCUCUGAGCAGCCGGAGGUUUCCAUGUCUCAGUCUGCUAGAUUUUUUUAUCAGACUGGAAAUCAGCCACUCGCCAUUCAACGAAAUCAUCAUGAGAAAUGGCCGACAGAAAGUUCCUCUGACAGUGAGAAUGAAAGCAAGGGAGACCACUCAGCGAAAGUUCCAUGAGAGUUGCCAAGAUGUCAAUGAUCCUGUUAUCAUCUUGCUACUUAUAAACACUGCAUAAUACAGCAAAAUCUUUUAAGGCUUUAAACUUGCUUUAUAUAUAAUAUGUUACAGUGAAACCCUGUUGAUCUUCGCAGCAGAAUUCUAUGUAAACUGUCAGACUGAACAAAUUUCAAGGUUAAAGAACCAUAGAUACAGAGUAAUGUCCCUUUGUUUAUUAUCUACGGAGUAGUGUCCCUUUAUUCAAAUGUAGGCAUCCCAAGGUGUGCCGGUCACUGGACGGAGCUUCCACAUUAGGGGGGUCUAAACCAACAGGGUUUCACUGCAUGUAGCUUUAUGGCACAGCUUUUCAUAAAAAUAUGUUAUUCAUUUGCUUUGGGAAUUUCCUAUUCUUUACAAAUUCAUCAUUCUCAGUGCUUGUUUUUGUUUGGUAUGUGUUCAGGAGUUGCUCCUUCUGUUUUGCAUCUUUGUGUAUAGUGAACUACUGUUAUAACCAACAGAAAGAUAGCACUAAUUUCAGUUUGCUAUUACCAUGGUGAUUUUUAUGCAUUUCAACCAGGAUUGAAAAGGUUAUAUCAGUCAGUUUGUCAUAAGCUUGUUCUUAAUCAAUGUAAUUUUCUGUA
rnacentral:misc_RNA from 1 species